CCAUCUAACUUUGUUACUCCAAGAAUUAUAGUCCCACAUCGAUUGGGAAUAUAUUUAUUCUAACUUUAUAUACUUCAUUUCACUUUAUUUUAAUACAGGAAUUAUCACAAGCGCUCACCCUAGCUGAGUCGUUUGAUGUAGUCCCUUUCAUCACAACUGUCUUUCAUUUAAUAGUUUUUUAUUGUUGUUUUUGGACAUAUCUUCAUGUAACAAAGAUUCAUCUACACCUACAUAUGACUUUGCCUACACCUACAUUGUACCUUACCUGUUAUUUGUACCUUACCUCACAUGUCACACGCAAUCUCACCUCCACCCAUCUUCUUCUUCAUUUUUUUCAUACUCAUCUUUUUCAUUUUUUUUCAAUUCGCCGAUGGAAACCCAUUUUCUUCUUGUUCUCGCUGGAAACACAUCUUCAAUCUGUACGUCGAAUAUAUUUUUGCAAGACGUUUUUUUUCCGUCCGUGAAUCAUCAAUCUGUUAAUCCUCAUCUCCUACUCUUCAUUCAUACCAUCUCCUCAUUGUAAGAGACAUGGUGUUCGAUUUUUUUUUAGUUUUCUGUUGGUGUAAUAUAAUUUCAUUAGGUUUUUUCUAUUGUGUGUUUUAUAUUUCAUUGGUGUGAUACAAUUUCUCGGUCAAAGAGUUGAAAUACAUGUUCUUAAGGUGUAAUACAUGUUCCUGAAGUUGUUGAAAUCAUUGUUCCUGAAAUGUUUGAAACCGUUCUUCCUGAAUUUGUUGAUACCGUUGUCCCAUAAAUGGUUUCAACCAACGAUCGUGAAUUCGUUGAAAUCAUUGUUCCUCAAUUGUUUAAUUAAACCCGUUGCUUUUCAAAUGGUCUUAACCAAUGUGUUUCUAAAAUGGUUUAACCAAUGGUCCUGAAAUGUCGAAACCGUUGUUUCUGAAUUGGGCGAUACCCUUGUUCCUCAAAUGGUUUCAAACAAUGUUUCUAAAAU
rnacentral:lncRNA from 1 species